ACCGCGGGGUCGGAUUCGACCCACCCCCAAUCCACGCGGUUAUCCAUCGCCGUCACCGCACACCGGGGAGGACGCCCCGCUCCGCAUCGCGCUCGCCGCUCGGUGACUCCUCCGCUCGUCCCUCGCGGCGCCGGCGGCAAGCACAGCGACAGCGGGAAGGGUUCGGCAGGCAGUGGUGACGGCGGCGGCGACGGCCCCUGCUCCUCCCACACCAACCUCGAUUCGGCUCCUCCAGUUCACCAAGGACAUCUUGCUUCAAUGUCGUGCUGCAUAUAAACUCUGGCAGAUCCUAGCAAGUUUCUCUCAUGAUUUGUAGCAAGGACGCUCAUCUCAAGGCCGCCCUGGAUGGAUCGUGAAGCCACUCCCCUCUCAGAUCUCGGGAUUUGGUUCCCAGUUGGCUUCUUCCUCAUGCUCCAAUCCUCUAACCCUUGACUUUGCAGAGGAUCAUGAGUCAAGUUGUUUGACAUUUGUCUCAGUUCUAACUGCAAGAGCAAGAAUCAGCAGCAUGUUCCUUCAUACUUGUCGGUUGCCCAUGGGGAUUAUGUUAUUUUUGUUAGCUGGAGAAGUUAGAAAAUUUAGCAUUAAUGGUGAUUAAUUGAUAUAGUACUACUCACUGAGAGGCAGACUUCAUGUUCACCUGCUCUUUUUCCAAUCCUACGAUAUAUGUAACUUAGAUGAUAUUAAUAUGGGAUGAUGGCAUCACGAUUAAGUUUAAUUUCUCAAUUUUUUAUUUUUAAA